UGCGUAGGCGGGGCAAUUAGUCAGUGGUGAAAGCCUGCGGCUUAACCGUAGAACUGCCAUUGAUACUGUUGCUCUUGAGUAUAGUUGAGGUGGGCGGAAUGUGUAAUGUAGCGGUGAAAUGCAUAGAGAUUACACAGAACACCAAUUGCGAAGGCAGCUCACUAAGCUAUAACUGACGCUGAGGCACGAAAGCGUGGGGAGCGAACAGGAUUAGAUACCCUGGUAGUCC
rnacentral:rRNA from 1 species